CAAUGCGUAUUGUAUUUUGGAACUUUCCCAAGAGAAGUCUUCUUAUUUUGAUUUUUAUGUUGAUAUUUUUAUCGGUUUUAUUUGGUGCUUUACCACAAAAUAUUCUCUGAUUCUGAUUUUUUUUAUUUUUGCAUAUUUUUGUUGGUGCACGAUAUAUUUGGAGACAAAGCAGCCUACUAAGUAAUGUCGAUUGAAUUGCGAAUUUGUACACCAUGCCUUACUCCGUCUAUAAAGGCUACAUGCUUAAUUUCCGCUAGGUUCAUUAACCCAUUUUCAUUUGGUUGGUCAACAAAAAAUAUGGAAGGUACAGAUCGAGGCACUUGAUUUGGACAAGACAAUGGGCUUGAAACUAUAGAAGAAACUGCUAUAGACUAAAGACUUGAGGAUAUAAUGGGACUUCGUAAUCAUUAUAAUUUGAAGUCGAC